GACGAACGCUGGCGGCGUGCCUAAUACAUGCAAGUCGAGCGCUGAAGGUUGGUACUUGUACCAACUGGAUGAGCAGCGAACGGGUGAGUAACGCGUGGGGAAUCUGCCUUUGAGCGGGGGACAACAUUUGGAAACGAAUGCUAAUACCGCAUAAAAACUUUAAACACAAGUUUUAAGUUUGAAAGAUGCAAUUGCAUCACUAAAAGAUGAUCCCGCGUUGUAUUAGCUAGUUGGUGAGGUAAAGGCCCACCAAGGCGAUGAUACAUAGCCGACCUGAGAGGGUGGACGGGCCCAAUGGGACUGGGGAACCGCCCAAACUCCUUCCGGGGGCAACAGUAGGGGAACUUCGGCAAUGGACGGAAGUCUGACCGGACAACGCCGGGUGAGUGGAGGAGGGUUUCGGGUCGUAAAACUCUGUUGGUAGGGAAAAACGAUGGUGAGAGUGAAAAGCUCAUCAAGUGACGGUAACUACCCAGAAAGGGACGGCUAACUACGUG
rnacentral:rRNA from 1 species